UUCAAUUAUUUCAUCUGAGGAUUGAAGAGCAAUUUCUAUGCACUGGCGUGUGCAAUGUAACUACUGUUGACUUAUGUUGUUAGGUUCAAUCAUUUGGGAGCAGAUAAGUAUGGACUUCAAUUUCUCACCCUUGUCCUUAAUACUUUUAUUAAUCACUUUAGAAUCCGUAUUGCUAUAAUGGUUGAGACACAUUAAAAAUAUUCAAAUUGUUUUUUAGAAAAUAUAACAGGUUGAAAGAUAAGUUUGAUUAUAUAUUUUUAAAAACCAAAACGGGGAGAUACUUUUUUUCUCUUUCAACUUAACAUGUUAAACUAUGCUGACACUACUACCACAUUUUAUUUAAUAAGAGAAUAUAGAGAUAAGUCAUAGUUACAAACUUAGAGAAUAUUUGAUCUCUUCUUUUUCUUGCUUGAAAUUCCUCUUAUUUGGCAACAAGUGAUUUGAAAUGACUGAAUGAAGAAACUGGUCGAGGCUCAAUGGAAAAGUAUGAGGAAGAAAUAAUAAUGCAGAAGAAGGUAAACAGGUACCUAAGUGUUCCCUAAGGCCCUCACCCUUUUGUUAAUUCCCAUCAAUAGUUAUAUUCUUAUUCCUGCAUAUAUAUAUCAUGUAUAUAUUAUGGUUUAAAAAAAAAUAAAAGAAAAGAAAAAAGAAAAAGAACAACACAAGGUGUAAGGGGAAAAGGACAACAGAGGGAAAUAUCUUGUUCUUUAUAAAAGAAGUUCAAUUGUUGAAGGGAAUAGGAAUCUGAAGGGAUCCAAGCGCUUGAAGACAAAUAUGUUUCUGAAGAUAAAAAUGACUUGCCCUUUUAUUUAAUUGGAAAAAGAAAAAAAGAGAGGGUUUUUGAAUGCUGAGACAUCCCUAGAGCCAUCCUAGACUCUAGUAAACAGGACAAGCCCCUCUCACUAUCUCUUCCUCAAUAUCUUUACCCUUACCCUAUCUUCCUCACGUAUUUGUAUAAUAACCCCACAACUUUUUCAUAUUUGGUGUUUCUAUUUCUAACCUUUAAAGAGUUUAAAAGGGUGGGAAAAAAAAACACAAGGUAGAUUACUCGGGUAUAGUGUCUUUUUUUUUUGUUUCUCCCACAAAAAUAGCUUUGCCUUUUGCUCAUGCCAAAUUGAUAAUAACUCAAAAAAGAAUCUGCCUGGUUUACUCUUCCCAAGUGAAAGCACUAUAUAGCUAUGCCAAGGGAACUCAGAGGGGUAAUUUUGUCAUUUAGGGGGGGUAUAUGAGAAGGCCCUUUAUUUCUUCGUGCUAUAUAUAUGUGUUGCUCAAUUUGUCACAGGUAAUAUACUUGUAGAUCACUUCAUGCCUCAGUUCAGCUCCACAGAAUUUUCAGAAGCAAAAAAACUUGGUCAUCUCAAUUCAUGUUAUCAUGCAUCUUCCAUGUUCUUCAAGAGAGAAACAAGGCUAAGUUUGAAUUUUUUUCCCCUUCCUUUUUUGGAUCAUCAUACUUGGUGUGCCUGGCUCCCUGUAUGCCAUUUGUAGAGCUCGUCAAAACAUUGACAGCCUUAACAAAUGGCGUGCGAGGAGCCAUGCAUGCUGUCUGUUAUUAUUAACUGAUUUAAAGGCGAAGUGUUGUUAUUAUUGGUUUUGAUCUCCUUUUGGUCCAUUCUUCUUUCUUUCCCAUGUUUCUUUUGUGAGGGAAGGAAAUUAAGAAUUGAAAUACAUUUAAUAUGUACUAGUAGAUAUUUAUAACUGCUCAUUUCUUAAUUUUUCUAUGUUAAUACAUAUAGUCUAAGCUUCUAAUCUCCUAAUAGUUAAUUAUGCUUAAUUGUCUUAAGUUAAUCAUCAACUCAACCUUCCUAAUCAACAAUGUCAUUGACUUGAUUAGAUAUAGUAGAUGGGUAGGUUACAUUAGGUAAAAGAUUACAAAAGAAAAAGUGAUUUUUUUUUGAAAUAUAUUUUAAUUUCCAGUAUUUUCCUUCCUCACUUCCUUUCUUAUUGUCAGUUUAGAGGUUGAUUAACUUGCGCUGUCCCUCCUUCUAGUCAAGAUCCUUGUCAUCUCAAAGUUUUAUGAGAUUUAAUCACCUGGCCUAUUUGUUCCAAACUUCCAAUGUAUCAAUUCAUGGGUUAAAUAUGUCGGCCAGGUUCACAGUUGAAUGUGUACUCAUAUACAUACUAUAACAUUUUGUUGUUAUACAUAGAUGUACUAGAAAACCCUUUUAAUUGGUUUGCCUUGUCCAACGGCUAGAGACAGACAAAAUAAACCUUCAUCACGUCUUUGUCAACGGAUAAUGAUGAUUUACAAAAUCUUAUCCUCAA